UACGUAGGCAGCGAGCGUUGUUCGGAAUUACUGGGCGUAAAGAGUGUGUAGGCGGUGCUCUAAGUUCGGUGUGAAAUCUCCUGGCUCAACUGGGAGGGUGCGCCGGAAACUGGAGUGCUUGAGCGUGGGAGAGGGAAGCGGAAUUCCUGGUGUAGCGGUGAAAUGCGUAGAUAUCAGGAGGAACACCUGUGGUGUAGACGGCUUUCUGGACCAUAGCUGACGCUGAGACACGAAAGCGUGGGUAGCAAACAGG
rnacentral:rRNA from 1 species